CCUACGGGGGGCAGCAGUGGGGAAUUUUGGACAAUGGGCGCAAGCCUGAUCCAGCAAUGCCGCGUGCAGGAUGAAGGCCUUCGGGUUGUAAACUGCUUUUGUACGGAACGAAAAGCCCUGGGUUAAUACCCUGGGGUCAUGACGGUACCGUAAGAAUAAGCACCGGCUAACUACGUGCCAGCAGCCGCGGUAAUACGUAGGGUGCGAGCGUUAAUCGGAAUUACUGGGCGUAAAGCGUGCGCAGGCGGUUUUGUAAGACAGAGGUGAAAUCCCCGGGCUCAACCUGGGAACUGCCUUUGUGACUGCAAGGCUAGAGUACGGCAGAGGGGGAUGGAAUUCCGCGUGUAGCAGUGAAAUGCGUAGAUAUGCGGAGGAACACCGAUGGCGAAGGCAAUCCCCUGGGC
rnacentral:rRNA from 1 species